rnacentral:rRNA from 1 species
CUACGCCUACAUGAGCUGGAGUUACUAGUAAUCGCAGAUCAGAAUGCUGCGGUGAAUGCGUUCCCGGGUCUUGUACACACCGCCCGUCACACCAUGAGAGUUGGGAAUACCCGAAGCCUGUGAGCCAACAAGCGAGGCAGCAGUCGAAGGUAGAAUCAAUGAUUGGGGUGAAGUCGUAACAAGGUACC